CGGAAGGAGGGAGAGUUACAGGAUUUUCAAAAUGCUUAACAGUGACAGUGAAGAGAGUUGAAAGAUGUAGAAAUCCUGUUUCACUGACGGGAUCUGCCCUGUCGCAGCAGAAGCCUGCAGGGGAAUGGUGAUGCUGCAUUAAGGAUGCUUCGGAAGUGAUGGAUUGAGGUGCACACAUAAUGACCUGUUCCAGUCAGAAACUGAGAGCCUCAGAAGGAGUUGCCAACCAGAUCUAUAGAAUGAGACGUGAGUGUAUACAAGAGCAGUGCUUGUACAUUUUGCAUUUCUGUCUUCCUGCCAAAACAAGUAAAAACAGUCAAGACUGUGCAUUUUGGAGGAUAAAUUAUCUGAGAUUUUUCUUUAAUUUAUUACCAACAGAAAUAGUGCUCACUUUAUUUCUAUUUUACAGGGAAACCCACAUGAUCUUUAAAAGACAUAAAUAAAAUGAAGUCCACAUAGGCUGUGGGUCUCUGCAACAGCUGUUCGUGUGACACUGUAUCUUAACUGCAUGUGUUUAAUCUUUCUUUUUUCCUGAGCAGCUGUCUCAAUCUAUCAAAAUAUUUGUAAAUGGAUUCAGUUUCUGGUGAAAUUUGCUUUCACUAGCACAACAGAGAGACAGGGAAGACUUAUGCCCUGUGGGAAGGAAAAAAAAGCAAAUCGUUUUCCAUUCCAGGUUGAACAGAUCAGUCCUAAGGCAUCUGCCACGAAGCUUGUGUGAAUCUAGUAUUCUCACUUAACGGCUACCUCAUUUCUUGGAGGUGGUGUUUCACUUCAUCAGAUAGAUUUCUUUGCAACUGAACAAGCAUAAGCAAAAUGGUGGGUGAUGGACAGUCGUCCAUUUCAGUAGAGGAGAAAUUCACCUUGAGAAGAGGGAUAUUUGGUGUCUUGUCCUGUUUUUACCCCUGGCUUGCAGUGUCCUUAUCUUAUUUUCCUUCUCUGUGUGAUGGGUUAAUGCUUCAUUCCUGUAUUUAGGAAGCCCUCUGUAGUCUGGGGGUGCCUGGGGGCUGCUGUGUGAUAACUUGCUAGUAGAAUGAAACAGGUAAGCUGGUAAAACUUCCUAUCACUUCUCCAGUAAAUUGCAUAUGCAGUAGCCUAGCCUCCUUAUAAUUGAUCCUGAGAGUACAGGCAGGGGAGGAGAAUCACCAAAGCUUCUUGGCCUUCCAAGUUCAUCACUGCCUUUCUUGUGAGAUAACAAAGAUACCUGCAUUAAACUCACCACAUGGAAAGGAGUGAUGUUAAGUCUUGAUAAAAUGGCAGUGAGGGAAGUUACCUUAUUGGAAGGUGUCUCUGAACUGCUCUCUAGAGCUAUCCUGGAGGAAAUGAAUUCACUAAAAGCACAAGACAUGGGAUCAUUUUAGGAAUGAAAGCAUGCAGACAUGUCAGCGUUGCCCACUAACAUGCUCCUGCAGGCUUGCCUAACAACUUCUGCACCUGCAGUCUGACCAAAACUGUGCACCCAAAGUUGUAGAAAUCCACAUGCUUUGAUUGCACCCUGAAUGAAGUAAGCCUUACAGCUCAAAUCAAUAUAUUGAAUCUUUCCUCUGCCUAUAAAACAGAAAAUCCAUACAUCAAGUCUAUUUUUAAGCCCUGAACUAUAACAACAAAAGUUAGUUUCAUGUGUAUGAUAAAGCAAGGUGAUCUCUGUGUGUGCAGUACUACCUGUGGUCUCACGGAAGGGCUUGCAGGGGGAGGAGAUGGCUGGGUUAGUUGUAUAACUCCACUAUGUUUCAGCCUGGGCUGAAGCUGCUUUUAGGGUGACUGAAGCAAAGAAUCAUAAUUUUACGCAGAGGCAGUACCAAGUGUUGACUGCACUGUAUGUUUGUCAUACUUUUCAAACUCAUUCUUCAUCCUAAAUUAGGAUACAGGUAAGCCACAACCUUGUUGCAGAGCAGAGCAGUAGGCAGCCACCCUAUCUCGGCUGAGACUGUUGUGUCUGUGUCCCAGCUGGGACCACUGCUGCUCUUGGUGCACCCAGCUGUAUCUUAAGGCAGGUGUUGGGGAUGAAGUAAGAGCAGUACUUGCAGUCACGUUAAUUUAGCUUUGACCACUGAUGUCAGAGCCGUGUGCAGGGACUUCACUAUAAAUGAGUCAGACCACUCAUUAUUUCACUUAUGGGUCCUUUGGCAUUCCAAACCUUGUACUCUUUGGUUAAGUGGCCAGAUGUCCUGAAGUUGUUGCGUACAGCUGGACAAUUAACUAUCUGCCACAGAGAAAUGGCAGAGGCCUCCCUGCUUUAUUAGGAUAAAACCGUCAGUUUUAUUGACUGGCUUUUUGCCUUGAUCAUAUUUACAGUGUUACACUCGACCCAUUUAAUCUUUUCAGUAGCGAGCUGGAUACUCUGUGAAAGCAGUUCUGAUUUCCAGCCUGAAGAAUAGGUAGCUGUUUAAUAGAAACGGAGGAAUAAUUAUUUUUCAUAUUAAAAUGUGAAUAUGUGACAGUUCAUUGUAACAGCUGACAGCUCGUUUUGCUGCAGGCAAAAUACAUCUUUGAUAAAGUACAUUGCCAAAAUGCACACCACGCUAUCAAAUCACUGCUUUUGCUACCUGUGUACAAGACAUGGUUUUAGGUGGUUGUACAUAAAAGAAUCCACUACAGAUGCUAGAAACAGAAGUUAAAUCAAACAGCAACGAAGCCAGGAAGAUGUAUCAGCCUGAAUGGAAUGAAUCAAAUAACUGAUAAACGAGGGAUCCCUAUAGCCUGGCUGCCAGGCUGCUUCUCAGGCUGUGGUGUGGGGGACAUCAGAAGGUCUUCUGUCAGAACAGCUGUGAGAGAAAGAAAAUCCCUUUUAAGAAGAGCUGACACACAUUCCUGCAAGUUGUGAGCAAAGUGUGCAUGGGCAUGAAGUCAGCAGUGUAUAUACGUAUUUUAAUGGGUUGCACAUAAACUUUUUGUUGGCAGCUCAACAGAAGAUGGUCUCGGGAAAAUGAGAUAUUCCUUUGCUCCAAAGGUGCAAUUCAAAACAGCGUUCUAGGAAAUGCAGCCGCACUCCUGUGAAUGUGCUGUCCUGCUCCACUACGUCUGCCUUCUCCCCGAGAAACUCAGCAGAGGUGCAUUGGGGCUGCUCGACGGCCUCCCACUCAAGCGUUCACCUUAAUGACUGCACUUACCCACACUCAUUUUGGAGCCUUUUUCCUUCAUUGCUUUUAUUCCUUUCCACUAACGUAGAGAAAGUCGAGUUUCUAGACUGCCGUCCGGGAAAAGGUCACGUAAAUACCUCUAACCCACAACAGCAGCAGGAGCUUCGCGGAGCGCUCUGCCGGCUCGCUCUGUGCGGCCCGGCCUUGGCUCCGGCUGCAGCUGCCGGCGCGGGGCAGCAGGUGGGGCUGGUGCUGCAGCAGCGACGCGGGCUGCGCUCUGGCAACGGGGCACAGGGAGGAUGUACAGAACGCUCCCGCGGAGUCCUGCUCUCCGCUGCUGCAGUUCGUGUAGUUGAGGGAAAGGGAAAUGGUAAAUGUCAAGAACUUCCACUCAGAAAUGUGAAAAACACCAGUCUUGUGGUCACAGCAGUAUUUAGGGAGCUAAAUUUCAGCAGGAGCCGGUCGUGGGAUGGGAGCCUGGCUUUAAUGUCCAGCCUGAUCCCCUGGCUGAAAGAGAUUUUGUGGAAGCAGUGCAAACAUUUGCUUGCCGAAGUUAUGAAAACCUCUUCAAAGCUUCAGAGCAAAUGGUGAUUUAAGCGCCUAACUGCCCUCUACCAGCUUGAAGUUUGAUUUAGAGAGAGCUCUUUUUGUAUGAUUCAUGAGAGAAAGCUCUACGUCCUUAGAAUCUCACUGGCUGUGAGUCUUAGCAGGGCUGUAGCAGUAUGCUGGAAGGCCCACAAAUGUCUCCAUGCUCCCCUACUUGAGAGAGUGCUGAAGAAGCAUGAAUGCAUGCAUGAUGACAGUGCUACAGGGCAAUUUAACUGAAAUAGUUUCAGAUGAGCAGACAGCUUUCAAAAGAAACAAGGUACUAGGAUGUAUUCGGGUACACACAAACUAAAGGGAUGUUUAACAAACUGUUUUUUUUAAUUAUUAUUAUUUUUAGUUAGCAAACAAAAAGGCAGUAUGCCAACAAACUAAAUGGGAGAGUAUUAAUGUAUGUAAUAUAGCAUAUCUCGGAUUCUUUCUCCUGCACUGGGAAUCCAUCAUGAUCCAAUUGUAUCAGUCCGUUAUCUCAUUCUAUCUAUUAGGCUUGUGCAACCAAACCUUUAAUUAAUGUCAGCUGUUAUACCUCAGCUGACUUCAUCAAGCUGUGCCAACACGUACCAGCUGUACACAUUGGCAUCCCCCACCAGCCCUCCCAGCUCUUUGACCUUUCCUGGGAAAGACCUCCUUUGUUCAGCCAGUCUCUUGUCUUUAAGAGCUGAGUCUUUCUGUGGCUUAACAUCCUCCUUGGUCUCAUGAAGUCUGCACUGUUCUUAGCCCUGAUGGUUACUUCCCAGUAUUCAGCCUUCUGAUGAAUGAUUUCUUCCUUAUUAUUUCUUAUCGAUAUUGUUUUUUUGUGCUUAGGUACUUAAGCAUCUCUCUCUAAUUCAGUUCUCUUUAGGUGACCUAACAGGGAUACCAUUGUUUAUAAAUAAGCAUUGUAUCUAACUCUCUUAUAGCAUACAGCAUGUGGCUGAAAAGGCUCAUAGAAAAAUCAGAGAAAAUUCAAAAUCAUCAUCUUGUUAUUUUUCAUUCUGGCUUGGAUAAAUACUUCUUUAGCAGCCACAAACUUCUUUAAAUAUAUUAGACCUUACAAAUGGGAGCAUGAUAUGUAUCUCUACUUCUUUGCAUGUCAAAGGUGCUAUAUUUUUGAAUAUGAAUAAACAUUCUCAUAAUUCAGCUACUUAAGCAUUGAUGUUAGUCUGCCUCUCAGAAGAGCUUUGCUGCUGUUUGGACACCUCAGUGAGAAAACUACCAGUCCUUGAAAAUGUGGAUGAAAAUAAGAGGCACUACUGCAUUCUUCUUUGCUGACUUAAGGAUGCCACAAUGGUAUUUACUCUUUCAAAAAUUUUGAACUAAGUGGAUUUGUAGUGGUUUCUAUUUAAAUGCCAAUAGCUGCUGCUAAGUAAAAGAAAACACUGUAAACCAGUGUCUCUGGAGAACUGCAUAGAAUGAGUGUGUUAACUGUCUAAGCUGCUAUGUAUUAGCAUGAAUUUGUGGGUUAAAUCAUUAUUUGUAAUUUGAGAUGUCCUGAAAACCUUCUGAAGAGAGACCAGAAAGAAGCGGCACAAUUAUUUUGUUUUGCCUAAUGAGCCUGGAAAAGUGGAAGGUCACCUCCGAGUAGAAUUUUUCAAGGAUACCAGCAUUUCUUUAUCUAUAGUGGGUGUCUGAUAAAAUGACUGGAUCUCAAAAUGUGUUUGCUUCACUAAUUGAAGGUCGUAUUAGCAUGAAUGGAUAUAACCUUAGUCAAUGGCUACUCUUUCAAUUCAGCAUCAGUUUUCUUACAAAGCAGAUGGAUGUUUUUCGUAAUAUAGCCUCAUCAAAUCCAACACAGAACGGUAGAUUCACGUCUACGAAUAAUCUUUCCCAUUUUGAACAAGUAGAAUGGACGACUUAAGGGAAAUAAAAUCCAUAUAUAUUAGGAACGAUGUAAUAAUGUGUGUGUGCAUGCAUAUGAAACAUCGCACAACACUUUCUACAAUGAGUUAAGGAUUUGUUGAUCUUAGGAGAUAAAGAAUCAAUUGGAUUAUAAUGUGGAGCUUCAGUGAAGGUUUCCAGGGUCUUAGAAAUGAAUGCUCUGUUUAUGAAUAUGGAAAAGGUUUCCUUGUGGGAUUCAGAAAUGAGGUGACAGUGCAGCAGCUGGCCAUCAGGCCUGUGUGACUUUUGGAACAAGGGUAUAUAUCAUCCAUUGCUGCAAGCAGAAGUUAAAAAUGUGGCUUAUACAAUCAUUUGUGAGGUUGGCACUGGUGCAAAAGAACUGUUGAAUUAAUCCAGAUACACAAGAAGUAAAAACUUACAUUUUUUACACUAUAUUCCAGGCAGGAAUUUAUUCCUUUGAAGCUUCUGGUGCUGGUCAAUGUUAGAAUCAGGAUCCUUGCCUCAAUGAUCCAAUGCUCCUAACCAUUUUAGUUUCUUAUGAACAUAAUACUAGUACUUCCUAGGUACUUAAAGCUACCUACAUUUAUUUUAGUGUUGAGAAGUGCUCUGAGAAGGGGAAUGACUCAGGUGCAUAACAAUUUUAGAUUCUGUUUGAGUAGCAAGAGGUUAGGUGCAUUUUUAGAGUAUUUGGAAAGCAACAUAUUUUGAAAUGAAUCUUAGUUGAUAAAACCAUUAUCCAUAACCAAAAUUCUCUGUAAAUGUGUAAAUGCUUUCCAGCAUAAUUAUCUAGAAUAGCUGUCUAGAAGUUACAGAUAGCAGUCACCACAACGAGCAGUUACAAAGUGCGAAAAUGAGUUUGUUUAUAAAAUAGCUCCAGCAGGCCCCUGGACUAAAAUCACUUGAUUUCAUGUAGCUCUGUUUAGUCUUACUAUGUCAGAGACACUCCCCUACCAUUUGAAAGUUGUCUCCUUACUGAUUUGGGACAUAACAGAGGGUUAGAUUAACGACAGCUGAGAUAGCAGCAUAAUAUGGGAUCUUCGGAAGGGGAUAAAUUACAGCCUCCUUUCGGUGUCAGUGUGUGACGCUGGGAGACUCGUACACCACAAGCUGGGUUUCUUGCAAGGACUGUAAAUAUUCAUCAGGGCAACUGGGAUAACUAAUUACAGUAGGUUUUUCUUCCCCUGUAUUUGAAUGAGAGGGAAUUAUAAUUGUACGUAUAGUUAAAAUUUGUUCAGCAAAAACAAUUUGUGGCUAUACAGGAGAGUGCUGAGCAAGGAGAUAACUGUGAAGAGAUGCCUCUGUUUCUGAGUAAUUGGGUAGCAGAAUCCCAAUGCAAUUUGUUUGUUGUAGAAUCUUCUUCACAAAACUCUUUGCUGAAAUUUGUGGGUUCCUGAGAUGAAACACCCUGUAAAAUCAGCAUAGGGUUUCCUGCAAUUUAAUUUUCUACCUAUCAACGCAGUUCUUGAUUACACCAAAAGUUUUCAAAAGAUGCUGGAGUUUCCCUGCAGUAAAAUUAUCGCUUAAAUCUUCAUCCACUUCUUUGUGCACAUAGCGCUGCUUCCUGUGGACAGAAGCAGACAACCUACACAUGCUUUGUUCUCUCUCCACAGCCCUAACAUAUGCUCAGUGGCAUUGUAUAAACCAAGACAUCGGUGCAAGCACUGGUUUCCCAAAUACUGUCAGAUCAGACAAAUGGUUUACCAUGCUCUGGUGACGUAUUUCUCAUUGUUGGUUUUUAUUUUGUUUUGCUAUUUUAAUAAUAGGUCAGAGGAAGAAAAGCCUCCUUACAAUCAGAGUGUAUGCCAUGCAUAAAACCUAAUGUACAACUGCAAGGGGUCGCUGUAUUCUGGAUUACCUACCUGUCAGCUGUAGACAGUGCCUUUCACUCCAGAGCUGCAAUGAGGGGAGAGAUAGAAGGGUGCCUUUCUCUGCUCCCAAGUACUCUUCUACUCUGCAGUGCCAUGAUGAAAUAUUAAUUACAUUUAUCAGAACAGGAUUAAACGUGGAAUGAAUGAUUAAUUAUUUGGCGCUGGGAUAGAUUAAAGUUCUGUCCAGGGUUUAUGUAUUCAUUAAUUACUUGUUAAAUCAAAACCAGACUACUGUCUUUGGAGAAGCUGGAAAAAAAUCAGCUGUGUUGUUGCAGUGGUUUGUACGAUCAGUUUGUUAUUUGGUGGUACAUUCUGUAACUAAGUAAUGGUCACAAUAAUAGAUUAUUCUACCUAAGCAUGAUAAAGAAAUCUUUACAUGUGUAGUGCAUGGUUUAUUUCCUUGCAGGUUUUACCCUUUUAUUAUCUGUCUUGUCUGAUGCUUUGAAAUGCUUGUUGUCAUAGGAUUUAGCAUAACACAUCCUUGAUAAGUUUUUUGCUAUCACAACAGAAGGGAAUGACUGGAAUAGAUUUACUUCUGCCCUUCAGCAGCAAGGAAACUCACUACCAAGAGAGCAGAUGAGCAUAAGCCUUCCCUGCCAGAUGGUUACCUGCCCAGUGCCUCCACCAGCAUGUUCAAACCACACCAGCUUCAUCUGCGUUCUUUACCUGGGUAUGAUGGUAGGUAGGCCAUAUUUAUGAUCAUUCCUGAAAGAGCAUUUCUGAGCUGAAGAGAUUUUUGAAGAACUCUGUGAAGACUCCACUUUGUAUUAAUAGUACUGUACAUGCAGAGAUUGUGCUUUGUGGUAUUUUCACUGAUUUUUUUAUUAGGAAGAUGCCAGGACUUACUAAUUACUGUCCUUUCUUGAAUCUGUUGGCACUUUAUAUAUACAGUGUCACAGACUGAAGGCUAUCAAGUCAGAUAAGUUCUGUCCUGUUCUGCCUGCCUUAAUGCCUUUGUUGUUGUUGUUAUUAUUAUUAUUAUUAUUAUUAUUAUUAUUAUUAUUAUUUUACUGCUGGUCAUGUUAUUCUUCAUCACUGCUUAUCAUCUUAUAUAACAGCUGUAUUGCUCUGGCUGGCAGAAUAGAGGGCCUCAUGUUCCUAUGUGCCAUUUAUCUCUGCUGAUAUUUUGUGAGUGAUGAAAGCCACCAUAAAUGUGUAUUUGUUUUCUUUGUAUGAUGAAUCCCUGCUUCUCCACAAAAGUCUUGUGCUCAUGGUGUUCACUAUUUAACAAAGUGAGUCAGGAUACAGUUAACAGCUGUGUGACUGACUGCUUGCUAGAGUAGAUAAGUAAAUACUGAUCCUUCAAUUUUCUACUUUCUCUGCCCUGAUAUUCUUAUACUGCAAUCUCCUGGCGCUUCUAGGAACAUUAUUGAUGAGGGAACACUUCAAUUCCUUUCAAAAGCAGUGCAUAUAAUUGAGAGUACAGAAUCAAGAGCUGUGGGUUUUUAGAGUUUAUAAAAAGUGUAGGGAUUGAUUAAAAACAGAUUCUGUUCAGGUCUAUGUGGAUGUUGCAAAAUAAAGAGAAAAAUCACAGAGUUGCUGAGAAUCCCAGGUACUUCUAGAAAUGAAAAAUAGAGAAGAAGGUCAAAAUGGAUGAACGUAGUUGAAAAGAUUAACCUCCCCCAGACACCCCAGCCCACCCACCAGAGAACACAGCCGUUUUGGGCUUUGCAAGGACCACAUGCAGCAACUGCAGUGAGCCUGUUCUCCUUUCAGGCAAGCCCUGAAAUUCCUGGGCUUGAUGAACAGUAUUAUGAAUGUAGCUCUACUGAGAGACAGUAAAGAACACGUCUCACUGAAGAUGUGGAAUAGCACACUGAAUCAACAAAUAGGCUUCUGACUAACUGGAAGCAGUGGGGCAGAUUCUCAUUUGUUGCUCACUUAAAUAAAUCCAUGAGUAUCAAGAAUCAAGUUGUGUUUCCCAGUGGUACUGCUUCAUGAAAGGGUAUUCUAUAUCCCAAGCGUUGGGGACAUUUUGGGGGAAUGUACCUUUUCUGCAAAGCAUUUUCCAAGUUUUGGUGGCUCCAGGAUUUGUGAGAGCUCAUAUUUAUGAGUCAGUUCUCACUGCUGGCCAUCAUAAAUUAAAAAAAUAUCACAACAUCAGUUUUUGUUUCCUGGACCAACUGUGUUGUAUUGGUCUAAGUAAUAACAUUCUUUAUUCUUAAGCUAAGAGCAUUUUGUUUAUGUAUUCUCUCCGCAAGGGAAAAUAUACUUCUGCUAUCGCUGCAAAGCACAAGGGACAGUUAAAUCUAAUAAGUUAAUCUAGACUCCUAGAAACAAAAUUAAAUUUUCAAAUAAAGGCAAACUGACAGCUAAGGCAUAAAUCUUUUAUUUAAAGUAGAAAAUAAGCCCAUUCAAAUGCAAUCAGAGAAGACAGAUGUAGGUAAAAACAAGUAGAGAUAGGAUAUAUGGUGCAUAAAUUUGCUGUGUCUGUAUGAUAGAUCAAACAGAGUGACCUUAAAAAUGUUCCUAAAACAUCAGCUAAAAUAUGAAAUUUGCAUAUAUUUAAAUACUGCUUGUUAAUGGAAGAUGGACUAGAAAGGAUGUUAACACUGAAAGUAAAAUACAGCACAGGUGUAAAGUGUGCAACAGAAAGGUCACAUUAGCCAUCAAAGUGCCUGAAAUGUAAAUAUUUACUAGCUUGGAGCUGGCAGCAGGUUCUAUUAAUAAGAAAUAUUACUUUCCACUGUUUAAUAUAUCUUCUCUGGUAAAAUAUUUAUCUGAAAAAAAAUCUUGAUUCAGCAACAUUUAUAAUUAACUAAAUGUUUAACAUCAUACAUCCUCUUAGAUCCAAAUUACCUUAAUGGGACUACUCAGAGGUAAGAGAGGCACACCUCUCUGAAAGAUGUUAUCAAGAUCACAGAUAAGGUUACUAUGAAAUUUUGCCUGUCUUUGGAUUGGUGAAAGGAGGUGUUUAUACUCAGAUUUCUCAAGUAUUUUUCUUUCCUUCUGGGUGCAAAUCCACAGUAGAUUGUUGGGUUUUCUUAGGUGUGGUAUCAGAUUGCUCCUUGGAAGGUGGCAUCUAUAGCCUAUUCAGGAGAGAGAACAUAACCUGCCUGAGGUUUCUUGAUUCCUGCUCUUUCAUUCUCUCCUGGAUACCUAUUCCUCUGUCACCCCAUCAUCACAGCAGGACAUAAGCCAUGCUGCUUCCCAGUAUAGGAUGUGUUUUGAUCCAGUCCUCACAGGUGUUUGCUGAAAGAAUCUGUCUGUUUUGAUCAUAUUCUCAGAAUGGGAAUAUCUCCAACUAUGUAGGCAACAGCACGGGUGCCUCUCAUUCAGCUCUGGUCUCCUUAUAGAGUUUGAGACUGUCUGGUCCAUCUGGUCGUCCCUAGAAGUACAUCAUAAUUAUCUCCUGGUUAGUAAAUCUGGGUUUUCUAGAGAUUUCCACUGUAAUUGGAUCAGUCAUUAAUGUAGCCCAGAUUUCUCACAGUAUUCUGCUGAGAUUACAUCUGUUCCAAUACCGUGACCCAGUUAGAGCCCAAUAUCUUUGUGAAUAUGAAAAAGAAAAUUGGCUAGUAGAAUGUUGCAUGUAUUUUGACAUAUCAAUGCAGUUGAAGAAAUGCAGUUAAUUCUGAUAGUAUCAUCUAGCCUCAGAGAAUAGUGUGUGGAUGUGCAAAUGACUCUAGCUCUCUAAAUGUGGACAUAGUUACCAAUAGGUGCAGGGGGAUGUAUCCUUUCAAUUUGCCUGUUUGAUGUUUUGUUCUGUUGUUUUGUUAGCUUGUUAAUGCUCUUUUCUGUGGGCUUUGUGAAAAAUUUACUUUUAAAGUGAUAGAAUUCUGAAAGAUCUUUUUUGUAUUCACUUCUAUGAAGAGUGUAAGUUCUUUCGGUCAUUGAUUAGUGACAAAUGCCAUCUAUGGAGAAAUUCUCUUAAUCUUUGGGAUGUCUCUUUUGAAGGUCACUUCCAUUUAUUAAAAGAUUGCAACUGUACACUUGAAUAUUUCAUGAAUUGUCGGUAUUGUUUCUGGCUUUUGCAAUACUUCUCUAUAGGAAAAAAAAAAAAACCACAAAGGUCAGAUAACAGAUUUUUAAAAAGUUAUCCAGAAAGCUACAUACUGACCUAAUAAUAUGUUGUCAUAGGUCAAAUUGGAUUGUUUCUGUCACAUCUGUAUUGCAUAACACCAGAUAAAUUGAGGCGUGAGAAGAUGUAUAUGGUGCAAUAUAGGAAUACGGCUUUCACACUGACAGUCAGCUACUUGUGGUUGGUAGAGUUGUGUGUGUAGACCUCUGAGAACAUCUACAAACACAUAAGGUGAAAAUACAAAAAUAAACAAUAGCAAAUAGCCAGAGGGGCUUGCAAUGAAUUUGUCUAGAGAAGAUUAAGCACUUGAUUCCCUUGAAUGUGUGGCGUGCUACAGGUCUGGAGUCACUUUUCUUUGCUCUCAAUUGCUGAGGAGUGUCAUGGUCUGAAGAAGGUGGAAUUUGGUGCAUAAUAAAAAACAUAAGUCUCUCACUGUUCCUUGCUGAGGGCUCCUCCUGCACAAGGCAGGGGUCUGUCAUUCAAUAGCAAAGUUCCUAGACUCAGUCUUCACUGAUGGUCUGUGUUUAGCUGUGUUAGGUUUGCAGUCUCACCCUGCGGGGAAUAGAAUGUUGAAGAGAAGGUCCUUCACACUGAGGGAUUACUAAAUCCAGGUCAUCUACAAAAGAUUUGGUCUGCAAUAGAGACUUUUCUAUAUUUUGUUAUAAUAAAACAUGCCUUGGCAGGAGACGUUUUAGAAAUACUAUUUUUAAGAACACAACAUUAGAGUAAAAUACUAAAUUUGCCCUCUACUCCUCUACUCCCACCACUCUGGAAGUUGAACUCUGCUGCCAGGAGUCUAUAAACUUCAUUCACAUGCUUUUUUCUUUAAACACUGACUUGGAACAUACGGCUGCUUUUUAGGCUGGUUGGAGUUAUACAAUCAUUAGAACUUGCUUAUUUGGGGCAAUGAGGCUCCUUUGUUUGCAGAAGGCCUGAUCAAAAAAAAGAUGAGCUGUUCCAGCAUGGUCUUUCUAUAGAUUAGCCACAGUAGAGUACAUGUAUAGGAGCAGCCAAAAUACAUGUAGACAAUUAGCUUUUCUACCAGAGACUAGUUUUGUUAACAUUCCCUUGAUUUGACAGCUGGAAUAGAUGAAUGUCAUUGCUGACCUUUUCAAUUUUACAGCUUCUUCACUUUCAUAAUUCUAACUCCUGCAGCUGCAGCAUGGAAAUGAACUUUAAUAAUGUUCCCCAAACUCUUGAAAAUGCAUUAGUUACAGUUAAAUUUUGUAAUACUCUAAACAAUAAGGAUCUUUUAUAUCACUGCUUCUUAAACUACGAAGUAAUUAUUAGCAAUUAAAAGAGCUGGACAUUUCCCGACUGCUUUCAUGGAGCAGAUCUGAACAAUCAGACAUUAGGUAUCCACUUUUCAUUAUGAUUUAUGAUGACUGAAAAAAUUAUUCUGCCCUGAGUUUUAAUUAUUGCUGGAAGAUAUUCUCUGGGUUCUUCUAUUAAUGUCUUUCAUUUACUUUUAGAGGGUCAAAUGCUGUUCACUUUAUUGAUAUGAAUAAUUCCACCGGAGCUAAUAAAAGUAAACAGAGAGCAGAAAAUAGUUAUACAGUCUAAAUUCAAGAGGUGCAAUUGUUUGACAUGGUGUGACAAUGUAAUGUUGUUUGAAAUGGGACUCUGCUGUUUUUAACUUAGUUAAUUAUACACUAACAUAAACAUAGAUUGUGCCCAAAUUCAAGGUAAAGAAAGGAAAAGGUUAGAGGGAAUAAUACAGCCACUGUAGAGAAUGUGAGGCUAAAUAACUUGUAUUUAAAAGUAUUAUCACAGGUCUUUUAGUCAGAUAUGUAAUGUGAUGACUAGUCCAGUUUUAACUAUCCAGAUUUAAAGCUAAAGGAUUUAAAAAUUGGGAAGCAAGGUGCAAUUGUGUAACAUAUUGAGGCCAACCUUAGAAACUGCUGGAAUCCAAAUUGUUGGUGAUGUUACUUGAUGGGCUCUAGGGUAAACUUGAGCCUAUUAGUGACUGUGUCUGCAGGACUUGUGGAGAAGCUCCCCAGUAAAAACCUCCUGCCAGACAGCCUGAUCCAAGGGGAAUCCUGGUAAAGUUCACAGUGUAUUAACCACUUUUUAAUAUAUUCUUACAGUCCUUUUGAAAGGCUUAUUUCAAAGCUCUCGUGUAGCUAAUGGUUUGAGCCUCUUCUGAGAGUUCAAAUAUCCUAAUGAGAUUAACUCAUUAAAUAACUGCCCAUCACUUAGUUGCUGAUACUCUGGUUCAUUUGUUGCACUGGGAAGAGAGUGUAGCCCGUGCAAAUGUAGACUAUUUCUCUUUGAAUGUUUUUAAAUUAUUACAUUUUCCAUCCCAGUAUCCUUUUCUAUCAUGUAAGUAGAUUGGACUGUGCAGUAACGGUCUUUCUCCCUCCAGGCUGCUUGGGCAAAGGUGACAGGUUUUGCCACCAUGAUGUUAUCUCCUUAUUUAGGAUUGAGACUUAAGCCUCCCUGUGACUAAUUAAGUAGUUGUCUCUCAGGGAUGUACUUGUCAGUGCUCACACAACCAGAAUGGCACAGACUUCUUCCACAGAACCAGAGAAGGUAAAAAAUAAAAUAACAUCACCUUGAAUUUUACAAAUUAACCAAAAACAAUAAGGGAAGGGAAAACAGUAAGGGACGUGAAUAAUAAUAAAAAGCAAAAACCACGGCAGGUAACACAGGCUACUGCUAAACUUGCAUACUAGUUGUACGCAGUUGUUAUUGCUCACUUUAAGAUAGGUAGGGUGAAUCUUGCUCUUGCUACCUUGUUUGUAUACCAGUGGUCAGGGGAAGCCCAGGAGUCAGUGGUUCUUUGGAGAAGAGCCAGAAGGGAACUUGUUUUUGGAAAGGCUUGUGUGGGUAGCAGAUGAGCUUGGCACAGAACUGGUCAGCAGAACAGCCGGGAAGAAUCUGGGCAGCGUGACCUGGCUUGGCUGCUGCACUAUGCUGGUUGCUCCAGUUUUAAGAAAUAAAUGCUGUGUCCCUGGACAAAGCCCACAGAUAAUGCCAAGGCCAGGAGAUUCCUCUGAAGAACUUGCUGGCAGCUUGAGAUUUUACCUUUAAUAGACCUGGAGAUUCCAAGCACGCUCGCUUACAGAAGUGCUACAAAGAAACAAAUGGCAGUAGCUGUGUAUAAUCAGCAAGUUCGUUCAUAGAUCUUAAGAUAUAAAACAUUAUCAGAUGUUAUGCUUUAAAGAAAUGUGAUGCAAUUUGUCUUAUGGUCUGUGCUUCUCAAGUGUUUGUCUACACUAAAUCUUCAUGGUUGUUUUUUUCCAAGAGCUCUGAUUUCUAGGAACUUGAAGGAUGCUCUUUAAAACUUGUCAGUGGCAUGAGUCUGUCCUGCUUUCCAUAUUUUUUGGUGAAAUUUCAAUUCUUCUUUCAAUUCUUUUGGUGAGCAAAGCUGGCUGAAAAUUAUGCAUUUGAAGAUACAAUGUGAAAGUCUUGACUACUGGUGGAGUGAAAAUAUAAUCAAAAUCUGCAAUUCAUUUUUUCCUGUUUCCAACCCAUUCUAUGGUUGGUUGAAAUAUUUAAAAUAAUGAAUUUUUGACAGCUAAAUUAGGAUAGAAAGUAAAGAAAAAGGGAAAUGUUGUCUUUUUGCAUGCAUUGGCUGUGUUUACCGGCCAUCUCUAGAGGGAGACCAAAUUGUUCUUAACUGGCUGCACUAGGACUCAGUAUAUGCUCAUCUCUAUGAUUAAAACCAUCCAAACUACUGAACCUACUGAAGGAGACCCUUCUUAGAUUUGGGGCUUUGGUGUUUUUUGUUGUUGAUUUGUGUUGCUUUUUUGUUUGUUUGUUUGUUCUGUUUUUCUUAGUUGUGUUUUUUAUUAUUUUUGAAUCAAAUAAGUCUUUUGAAAAAACAAAACAAAACAAUGCAUUAUUAACAUAGCUUUACUAUUUGCUCAGUCAAACUUUUAGACAUAUUGUUUGAUAUAGAUUACAGGACAGCCUUGACUGAGACCCUUAGUAUCCUAUACUGGAGCACACAUUACAUGCAAUUUUACUAUUUUUUUGUAUUGUAGGGUAAAUUGUUGUGCUGUAGAACUGUCCUCCACAUACUUGGAAUGUAAUAACUCCAAUGAAAAAGUGGAAAUGCCUCAAAUUCCUAACCGUUCUACUUGUUUAGGCCCAUUCAGAUGAAAUGGCAGUCAACAUCUGUCCAGAUGCAGUAGCAUUUGUAAUUGAAACAAAAUAGAGAGCAGCAAUACUUCACUGCUAAUUUUUACUGGCUGCAGUCUUCCUUCAAAGGCAGCAGAAGGAAAUGGAAAAGGAGGGAAAGUGCCGAAGUCACAUCUGUACCUAACUGUGACUAACAUUAUCUUUUAUGUUAGAUCAUUAGCAUACCCAGGAAAAAAACACUGGUGUUUGGUGCCAGCUGUCUGCUUAUUACAGCAAAGGAACUGGGAGAAGACACUGGGAAUGAAAUAAGCACUUAAAGGGAUACCGUACUUUUGCAUUAUUAAGGUCUUUAGGUAUUACCAGCAUUGCUUUGGGCAGGAGGCAUCUUGGUGUGGAGCUGGGAAGCAUGGGGUAAUGUCUUAGUACCACUCAGUUGUAACUUGCAGAACCUGCUGCCAAAGGGAGCCAAAGGCAGAUGCAACACUUUGUCAGAGUGUUCCAUGCCAGCAGUGGUUAUAAAGUGGUAUGGGCUGGUGAGGAAUGGAGAGAGGCCAUCAGUGGCUCACCUAUGGAUUGAUUAUUGCAGAAGAGACAUUUUGGCCAUCUGGGUCAGUGGACAGAGAGCCUGAUGUGCACAAAUACCUUGCUAAUUUAAGCAAAGGCAAAAAAAAAAAAAAAAAAAAAUUGAAUGAAGAGGGUAAAAGUGGUAGUAAGACUCGGGAUGUGCCCUGGCAGUGGGCAUCCCAGUAUAGCAUUUGGUUUGUUCAGUGAAGAAACUCGUUAAGCCCAAAGUUUGAUCAAUAUUUAAUGCAAGAGAUUGUGUUUUGAUGCUGGUUUAAAACAAAGUAGUGAAUGUGUACUCUUAUCUCUGUGCUUUUCACAGAUAUGAAUGAUGGCAGAUUUUAAUAUUACAUUCAAAGUUACAGAGGUAAAGAAUGUGUGCAGUAUAGGAUGCAGCCCAUGAUGUGGGAUGUGCUUGAGAAGUGCAUAAUAAUAAGAUCUUAUGUUAACAGCCUAAACCAUUGACUAUAUCUGCUUUGGUAUGAAGAACAGCACCACUGACUGAACUUACAUUCACAUUGUAGCUGAAGUCAGGAACAGAUUCACCACAUGACUGUUUUUAGCCGAGCAGCUUCUGAAUUAUGUGUCUUUAAUUGCUUCAGAUUCCUGUUAUUGAUCUCUCAUGUCAAAAUAAUUGAACUUUAUGGCCAAAUUCUGAUGCUUAUUGAGAAAUCAUAUAAUUACUUCCAACCAUCUGUGAGUCAAUAAAAGUUGAGUACAUACCACUACUCAGAUUGCUUGAUGCAAACAUUUCUCUCCAAGUAACCACAAGAUCUACAAUACAUUAAUAAAUCUAGCAAAGCACAGUUGUAGGUUGCAUAAUUGUAUCUCCUAAUACUUGUAAUAAUAUAAAUAUGUUAUGCAUUAGUAGAUAAAAUACCCCUACUUCAACCCCAACCCUGCAACACAGGGAGAGUGCUGUGCCUGCAGAGAGCCACCAGCACAGGUGCAGCACUGUGCUGACAUGCACAGCAGGAAUCAAAAUCUUUGUGGCCAAGCAAACACUACAAAGUACUGGGAACCAGCGUGUUUUAUCACACUGAGGCUGAUGGGGACACGUCCUAGAAGUUCACACCUGUCUAGAAAAUCCUAUUCCACGUAUCUCUUUUUUUUUUUAGCUUUGCCUUUACUGGUUUGUUUACACCAAUGAACUGUCUGGAGCCUGUAUCCUUGCUCUUCUUCAAAGAGAGUGUUAGAGUAGACGUGCACAUGCAGUGUCUUCUUCAAAAACCUCAUACUUCUACCAUUUCACAAAACCCCAACAUUUUUGUUGCCUACAGGAUGGUGAAAAUUAAACAGUUCUAAUGCUUUUGAACAAGCUCCUUAAGAAGUGCCCUGAUAACCUGAAGCUUUUUUCUAGAAUGGUUUCGUGAAGAAUUUUCACACCUCAUUGCUGAUGGUAAUAGACUACAUAGUGUCACACACACACACAGCUGGCAAGAUACUUACUUGAGUGAUAAAAAAUGUUUUAUGUGAAGGUAAUGAAAGCUUUGUCUUGCCUACUUGAAUAGCUUUAGCUGCCAAUUUCUAGACCAAAUCCUAUCUGAGAAAGGACAUUAGCUUUACUGCAUCUUGUUUCCUAUGUAAUCAUUAUGCUGCUAGCACUGGUUUUAUUCACUCCUGUAUUUCUUUUAAUAUUGUUUUAGUAAUUCUCCUUCCUUAUGAGGAAGGGAGCAUUAAUCAGCCAAGGCAUUUAGCACCUAUUUACAUUAAUAUAUAGACAAUGCAGUGAUUUAGAAUUCUUUACACCUUUCUGCAGCUUUUUCACUAGAUUUCUUAAUGCCUUGAGGAUGCCUUUCCUCAUGACACUUUACAACAAACCUUUGCAAAAUGAAUAGCUUUCAUUAUGAAAUCAAUGAUAUUCCUUCUAAACUUCAGGGGCAAUGUCAAAGAAAAGCUACUCUAAUUGCUAAUGCUGAGAAGUUUUUAUGACCAAACUCUACUUUCCAGAUGUCAGAGCAAUGCAGUCAUCACCUUCUUCAGCACUUUUGCCCUCCCUUGUCACCGUGGUUCUCUUUCUCAAUAAUGUGAUUGUCAGCUAUGGCUUUUUCUAUUCUUACUUCUUUACUCUGCUUUCUGUUCUGAUUCAACCUUAAAGCUACCCUUUUCAGCAGAAACAGUCUGAAGUCUACAGUUGUGACUCUGCAUAGCAGGAACCUCUGACCACUGGCCUCUUCUGAAGCAUAAUUAUACAGGCAAAUUCUAAUUCUGAAGCAUAGGAAGUAGUUAAGAACUUGCACGUUUAUUUUAAUUCCAGAUUUAUAUUUUGACAUUUAUUUUUAGGAAGCUCAACUGUACAGACACAAAAUAGUGGCUGUGAUCAGCCCAGUAUUGGCUGGUCUGGGUUAGUGGGCAGAGUGCCUGUUAUUGCAUAUAAACAUGUUGCUAAUAUGGGGAAAAAAACAAAGAGGGUAAAGAUAGUAGUACUGCCUCUGCUACUGAUACAGCCCUUGUAGCCCUUGUUCUUACACAGCUUAAGAAAGCUACAAUACUGUAACAUGGAAAUUCUGCUUUGCAUGUCUAUAGGAAACGUAGACUCAUAGGUUUGAUCAAAGGCUUAUAAACUAAUAGGUUAGAAGUACUUGGCAUCUGUUCAUCAAAUGCAGGUAGUGUUUGGUCCAACAAAUGCAAGUCUCUCUUGGAGAGACAAGAGUUUUGUCUACUUCCAUUUUUGAAGUUAAUACUUACAUUUACCGCUGAAUUACAAGAAAAUGCAACUGAAAUCCUAAAAAUUUGUCAGCGCUUUGAUAUUCUAUUGAUUGAAACCAGUUUAACUUGUUUCAUCCCUUUUUAGUACAGAAAUAGACAUGUGAGUCAUUAAUUUGUUUGCCCUCUUUGAGGCUGUUGAAAUGUAAAAGAGAUGAGUUAGCAGCCCUUGGCAGUGGGGGCAUUGAUGGAGAUGCUGACAGACUUUAUUUAUAGUGUGGCUGCACUACCAGGCAUUACUAUAGUACAAUUCAAUCAGGGAAGUUACUUUGAUUUCUUCAAGUAAUAGCUGUAGUUAAACAGCUUUCUAAAGCUCCUUGUAUCACCACAGUGCUUAGAUGAUUGAAUUUUUAUCAUAACAAAAGUAUCAUAGCAGUGGUUAUCCUUAAGCUCUGUUUCACCUCAGAGGCAUAGAAUUGUCUUAUCUCAUUCCCCGUCUUAACUACUUUCAAUGUACUGACAAGCACAACUGACCAAUUAAUAGAACAUUUUCUAGUCUUAUCUCAUUCGUUAUCCAUGAUGCUCUUCCAUGUUGUAAUUACUUUUCAAUUUUUCAUGACCCAAAACAGUAGAUGUACACAGUGAAUACAAAUAGCAAAUUGAUUAAAUGUAACAUGCAUUGUAGCACCGAAGAGAUUGUCAUUUGUUAUUAACGAGAGAGAUUUGUCAGGUUCUUCUGAAAAGGCUUGUGACACACAGCAAUCCAGACCGAAUAACUGCAAGACUGCAGCUGACCUUCAGCUCAUUAAUUGUAUGCAAGUAAAAUCGGGAAGACACACGAUUUUCAAGACAAUUUCAAAUUUCUCUAUUUCCCUUUUUUGGUGCCAUCUCAACAUUUUAAAGAUUAAUUUCAAAAAACACAAGUCAGGUUAUCAGGUAAUUUUGUGCUAAAUGCGGGGGGGGUGGUGGUGGGGGCAUUGUAAGGCACUGAAUUUCAAGGCCAAAGCCAUUUUGUUGGUGGUAAAACACUGAUUCUUACACAGAUGAAACUGAGGCCUUUGCCUGAGCCAUUGUGGCCAGCAGCUCAGUAGUCAGAGAGCUCGUGCAAGAAGUGCAAAAAAGUGGUGUUCAGGUGUUUCUGCCUGAUUUUAUCAACACACAAAAUAUAUGCUUUUCCUUUCUCAUCCUUACUGUGCCAGCUAGCUGUCAGUUAACAGACUGCUCCAAAGCCUUGUUGAAUUGCUCCUGAUCAAGUUGGUUCAUUUUACAUAAGUUAAGUAUCCAUUGACUAUGCACUGGGGAAAGUAUUUUGGUGUAGCAGGGAGAGUUUAUCAUUUUGAGAAAUCUCUUUCUUGCCAACACUUGACAAGAAGUUUAUUUGAAAUCCAAAAGCUUUUUGUGAAAUGAGAAGUUUUCUUCACUGUACCGAGAACGUCAUUGAAUUUGUUAAUGAACAGCAAAGGAAGGUUCAAAAAUGAAAAUGGCAAUGCAGGAAAUUAUUUCCCAUUCUUGAACCAAGGGAGGUCUUGUUCCUUUGGUUCCAUCAAAUCCGUAGCACUCCCUUUGGAUACAGAUAGUCUUUGUUACAGUUGAAUAGCUCCAACAGCAUCAAAUAAGCUUUGCAUCUGCUAAAGCCUGCCUCCUGGUCAGCUUGUUCUAGCCAUGGGCCAUACUCAAUUUUGAAUUACAAAAAUAGGUUUUCUUUCAAAUUAUAUGUUACAGUGUGAACAUGUAUUAUUUACCUAAGUUUAACAAAUUAACUGGAGAUCAAACUGUGCAAACCUUGCUAUUCAAUUUCUCAGAAUUCUGCUUUCAUAAAGGAAUAUAGGGAUUUUAUGGGCAUCUUCUAAAACAAAAUUUUUGAUCAUAAAGCAUCUGAAGCAUUAAAUACAAUGUUAUGAACUUGUUAUACAUCUCAAGGUGAGGAGAAUCUUUGAAAUGUAUCCUGAAAUUAGAGACUAUAUUUGCAUAAUUUAUACACUGAGUAUUCAUAAAAAUGACUACAAUUGAAAAUCACCUGUCAUCAAAAGUAAAAGCACAGAAACAAUGGCCAAGACUGAGGCAGGGAAAUAGUGUUAUGGAUGUUAUUUCCUAAAUAUUUUCUAAGGAACGGUUUCUACCAGUUACUGAGGAAAUUAAGGAAAAGUGACAAAGCAACAAUCAUUUCCAAGUAAUAGUUCUUUUUUCUUUUCAUUAUCUGUGCUGUCUGCCCUCAGAUCUCCUGCAUUGUUCAGAUUUCAAAACAUUUCCUGUUGUAAUAGACAAGCAAGAGACAUUCCACAUGGUAAGGAGGAGAGCUCUGCUCCUGCAGCAGUCUUACCUGGGGCAGCUCUGGAGUCUGCUGCUAGAUGCUGGCCCUGAAUAGCCAGGGGAGUCUUCAUUACUUAGGGAUAAUUUUUCUAGGCUCAGAACUUGGCUUGGGUAAACCUGUGAAAACUGGGCUGUAAUUUAAUUGUAACGAGCUGCUUAUUCUAUUUGUUUUCUUUUCUUGCCUCCUGACUUCCUUAGCAGGACAGGAUUACUACCACUUGCCUUUGGAGCCACUUCUGGCUCAUCUGGUUCUUCCUCUCUGCCCUGUUCCUGCCAAAGGUUGUUUCAGGAGCACCUGUUUCAUCUUCUGCAAGGAUCUCAUAAUUGAGCAUGGGUCCUGAGUAGGAUUUACACACUUCCUCUGGAAACACAGGAAGCUUGUGUCAGUUCUGACUCUUUCACAGACACAUGUCAGCUUGUCAGGGACUAUUGUUUAUUAAUAAUUUAACAGAGGAAACCUGACAGGAUUGGUCUCUUGGUGAUACAACAAUAUGAAUAUUUAAUAAUGACAUGAUGAUACAUUUCUAUUAACACAGCUGGCAUUCUGCACUUAAGAAUGAUGGGAUAAUAGUUCUCUUUAUGACUACACAGUGAUUAAUCUAUUUAUGUAAUAGGUGAAUGUUCAAAGCUACAGUAAACAGUACAGAAAAGGCAGUGUAUUAUGACCAAAGUGGCAGAAAUCCCCAGUGAUUUUCCCAUAAAGUACUGGUAUUUGUGGACUGUGAAAGGUCUAUUUUCUCUGAGUUAGAUCUUUGCCUGUGCCAGUUGCGUGUACCCUCUCCUACUGCUUAUUCAUACUUUACUAGCCUGAAGAGAAACGAAAUAGAAGCUCUUUCUUUGCCAUGCAGUUAAUUAGCUGCUGGGGCAUUCUCUUCAAUGAUUCAAGUGCACUCUGUCCAAGAGGUUAGUCUGACCCUGCUCAUCAUCACAUAGCAUCAGUGUUGAUGGUUGCUGCUUUUUACCUAUUGAAAACUCAUCUUUCAGUACUUGGGUGCCAGUAUGGACUGACAUGACUCUAUCCUGUACAGGAUUUCACUUCUCCAGUGAGUACGUCUCUUUUAAAUCAUAGAAUCAUAGAAUCCUUUGAGUUGGAAGGGACCCUUAAAGGUCAUCUAAUUCAACUCCAAAUCUGAAUGGCAAUUCUACUGAGUUUUAAACUGCUCAUUUAUAGCUUUAUGACAAAGAAACAGCAAAGGAGUCAUGCAAGAAUUUAAGCUAAGGAUGGACAAAAAGAAUCAGAAAGCAUAGGGACACUCCAUCAUAACUCCUAAAUAACUCCUAAACUUUUUGUGGAAUGCAAACAUCUCCCUAGGCUGCGUAGAGAAAGGGAAAGAGGAGUCUGAUUGCCAGCAGCUCAGUCUUCCUCCUCCUCUUACUUGCUCUGGCAGGUGACAGGAGGAAGGCUCAGCAGCACAGUUCAUAAGUACCUGCCCCAUUGCAUCUCUUCCAAAGUCCUUAAAAUAUCACCUGGGGAAAGUCCAUUAACCUGAUUCCACUUUAGAAAAGAGAGGAAGAUUAUAAGUUGUUCCACUGACUGCUGUGGGAGACUUUAUGGAACAGGAUAUAGAUUGCUAAAAUUAAGGAAUCUUAAACUCCCCAAAAUUACUGGGAGGAAGAGAAAAAACAAACUUUGUCGUUCUCUUUCUCUCUUUUCCAUUUAUUAGCAUUUUCUUACGUAUAAAGUUGUGCAGUUGACAUGAACAGGAAACAAUAUAUUUUUACCUUUAAAAUACCUAUUUGAUUUGCCUAUAAAACUCAUUAUUUUCUUGUCUUCCUAAAUGGUAUUGAACACAGGUUUUUGAAACUGGACCUGAUUCAGGUCAUAGUUGAAAAUUUGUUUAAAGUCUUUUUUCUCUCAAUUCUGUGUUUGAAUUUAUGUAAAUGACAAAACCAAGCCAUCAGUUUGUAACUUUAUGAUCAAAAGUACUGCUUUUUCUCUGCUUAUUUUUCUUACUUUUCUGUUCAGAUCUUUGUUCAGUAACUCAUGCCAGUUCUCAGUAUAUUGGAGCAGAAGUACUCCAAUUAAAUAAGGCACUUUUCUACAACCAUGCCUCAAAAAUCUGUGCUGGUGAGUUCAAGUGGGGGUAAACUGGGCAUUGUACAGCAAGGACAGGCAUGCUCUCAGCUGUGCACAGAGACAUGGAACUUGUUCAGUGCGGAAAAGCAGGUAGUUUAGCAUAUACAUAGGUUGAUACACUUAAUACAAGGCCUGCUAUAUACUGCCUCUGAGCUGCUUUGAAAUCUGGGGCUCACAGGCUUAUGCUAGCAAUGCAUCUAAUAUAUGUGCAAACAUAAAAGUAGUCUUUCCCUCCCUUUCUUCUCAACUUAGAGGAAUAUUCUAAUUAGUUAUUGCAGGCAGGAGAAGAAAGGGAAGAAAUUUGGAACAAGGGAAAUAUGUGACUGUUGACUUUGCAGUAGCCCUGUCAAAAAAAUGUAUUCUACUUUUAAUACAUACCAUUUGGAAGCAAAGCCCCUUUUAAAAUGCUUCAGAACUCAUGUCCUUUUUAAUUGCCUGGAAUUCAUGAUGGCUGUGUGAGAAAGCCAUAAACAUAUACAAUCAUAAAAACACAUUUAGACAACCCAAACAGAAUCAGUGCCAUAUUAUUUUAGUUUAUUAUUCCUAGUGGAGUACAGAUUGGUCUUCCUACUUUGAUAUUUAUUUAUACCAAAGAACUACAAGAACAUAAAUGCCACUCUUGGGAUAAUCCUAAUGCUGGGGCUGAACAGAACACACAUUGCAUCUGUCUCAUUUGCAGUAAAGUGAAGGCGUGUUUAGGUGUAGUCCUGAUAAUGAAGGACAAAGUUGAAGGUCAAAUGUAGUCUUCAAAAUGAAUGUGUCAUCAUGAAACUGAGAGAACUGCAUUAAGAAGUUUUCUUAAAAUAUCAAAUAAUGAAGAAAGGGAAAGGAAGAUGUAUCUCUUUGGUUUUAUUAUUCCUUUUUCUUUGAAGCCACUUAAGGAUUCUGCUCAAGACUUUAGUGCUCAUAUGAAAAAUUAAUGAUGGGUUUUUGCUAGACAGAAAGCCUUCUUAUUUUGCACAUGAUUAACAAAGAAAACUCAAUGCACAAGUGAGAUACGCAGCAGGGGGUGGUUCUCUCGAAGGCCAGCUCACAGCUUCACACCAGAACAUUUAUUGACAUGGGAAAAUACCCACUUUUAUCCAAAGACAGUUAAACAGAUAGGAUAUGUGCAGGGCUGUACAUAAGAAUAACAAGGAACAGAUACUCAACAAAGGAAAAUGUCAACCAAAAUAAACAAACAGCCUAGCAGCAGGCUGACCCUGCACCAUGCCUGUGGGCUGUUUGGAGUCUACUGCAGAGCCAAGUGCAAUGUUAGUGUUUGCUAGUUAUUGUCAGGAAGUAGGUUAUCAGCUGAAAGGCUGGAGGGUGGCUUCAGACACUCUUCCCAUAGCAGAAGAAAAGCCAAGGCCAUGUAGGCAGAAUGUAUAAGCCAGAUCUCCACCCUAUUCACGUGCUCCUUUGGUUUGAUGUUCCUCACCUACAAAGAUGUCCUUUGAGAGGAGCUAGGGUACUUUUCUCACAGGUCUUUUCCCAUAUGUAAUAUCACAGCAUAAGGCCGUGUGAGCUUGUCCAACUCUAAGCAGCCUGGUUCCUGUGUAUUCCUUUCAAAUUUUAAACCUUCUUGUUUUUGUCUAGUCAGCUAACUUGGAGUAUCUUCUGGGGAUUCAGAAGGGCCAUCAGCUACCAGCACUCACAGGAAGGAAACCAGCCAAACAAGAUAUAAUUUUUACAAGUUUUAAUGGAAGUGCAGUGAGCUUUAUUCCUUUUAUUCAUUAGUUGUGUAUAUUUAUGAUCUGUUCCCUAGUAAAGGAGGACUUUAUAAAUAUUUGUUAAAUACAUUGAUGCACUACAAAGAGUUGAUUGGGGUUACAAAACUCAGGUCAGACUUAGAGUUUCAGAUGUCAAACAGGAAUAAAACAGAUCACCCUGGGUGAACUGGUCCAGAAAGCUUUUUUUUUCCUUUUCUUGUUAUGCAGACCAAUGGAAAAUGAUCCCCUAAAAUACUGCCAUCAUGACCUACAAGCUAUGUUUAUCUGCAGGCUCAAAAAGAAAUUGUUAGCUUUGAAAGUACUAUGUAUAAUUAUAUAUGAAAGGUGCCAAAUUAGUGUCAAAUGAACAAAAGUGACGUUCCAGAAAGCUGAUUUCAUUAAAGCUUCAUUCCUUGUAGCAAUAAGGAAAGUUUCCCAUGCUAUUUGUAGUGCCUCUUGCUUCUGAGGAAAGGAGAUGUGGUGAAUGUUAAAGCUGCUAAGAACUUCAGAAGGAGGCAAGGUAGUGUUUAUUUUGAAUAAUAAGUUGUUAUCUCAGAAUGAUAGAGAAUGAGUUAUAUUAGAUUUAAAAAGGCAUUAAGCUUCAAAUAGAGCACCUGAUAGCAGCACUUAUGAGCUUUUCCAAAAGGCUGCAUGUUUUGUCUAAUUUAGUUAUAAUUUGUUUGUGUGAGCAGUGGAAUUAUCAACAGUGGUGGCACUGAAGUGCAGUGAGUGGUGUACAGCUACAGACCCAGAGUGGCUGAAUGACUGAAGUGACCAACUGCCAUUUUCACAACAGUUAUGUGGCUUUCUUUCUUGUGGAUUUUUAGAUCAGAUCCCUGCAGGAACAGAAUGAGUGGAGUUUUUAUUUUGUUAUUAUGAAUGUUUUGAUAUUGCAGUAAUGAUUUUUUGAUAUGUGAUAAUAAAACCUUGAGAUUAUAGUAGUGGAAGCCUUGGAGUAGCUUUCAUAAUCUAUCGAUUUUGUGUUUCAUAGUGGUGAUUUUUUUUUCUUUGUCACCAUCAGUUGUUUGGUUUCUUUAUUUUUGUGGAUAUUCUCUCUGUGUUUUUGUCUAGCAGCAAGUGCUGCUACUUACAAAGGAUAUACAGAUGUUUACAUUACCCUAUCAAUUGCUACUAAACAAAUGCAGAGCAGCACAGCCCGAGUUUCAUACUACAUCAUCAUAUUGAGUGGGAGCUUUGCUUCAGAAAAAAGAAAGAAAAAAAAAGGCUCAGACCCUAUCUGAGAGCAGGUGGGGUGUUUUUGAUUGGUGAGAUUAUAUUACAGUCUGUAACUCAAGAUUUAGGCAAACAGUAUGUUUAAAGAAUUAAUAUAAUUCGUACUGCUCAAUUGUAAAAUCUCAACAACAGAAAUUGUGUUGCUGAACAUCCUGAAGAUGACAUAAUUGUAACUACAGCUGCAAAGUGCAGAACCAGAGGCUUGCCUACAAGAGCUGUGCCCUGUGCUCCUUGGAGCCUCUUGCUGAUGGAUGCCACCAGGCAUCCCUAAUGCACCCUCACCAGCUAAGAUGCAGUUGCUGCACUGGCUUGUCCAAACAGCCUUGUGCUGAUGAGCAGCAAUAGUGGAGUGUUGGUUUGUCCUUUGGCUGCUGCUGAAUGCUCAGUAACAGUGGGGAUUUGUGUCUCCUUCCUCUCUGUCACUGAAGGGAGCAAUGCAAAUAACUUGUGAGAGAAAAGCAAUAUUAUGUUUAUUGUUGCAAGAUACCUGUUUAACAGAAUAGUAAUCAUAAAUAUGACACUGACAAGAUGGCAGGGUUCACACGAAACCAACUGUAUCUGGGGGUUAAGUUAGUUGCACACCUAAGGAUUUCCCCCUAUUAGAUUGCAGUACUCAUUGCAGUUAUGUUGGCUGUCAGCAGAUGAUUCUGAAACUUCAAGGAAUCUUCCCUGAGAAGGCUCAGGGGGAGCUCCCAAGCCACAGCCUGCUGUGGUCCCAGAGAGCUCCAAGAGGUCUUGCUUAGAGUCACUAUUUAUAGGAUCAUGAGAUGAUUGACUUUUAGAGAGUAGUUUUUCAUUAUUUUGGUCCUUUUUGAUUUUUGGCUAUGACAUAGCCAAAUGUCUUAGCACGUAAUUGCGCCUUCAUCAAUUAGCCACGUCACCAGAGCUCUGGAUAUGGUUGGGCGAGGUCUGAUCAUCCCAUGCCCGUAGCCUAUAGCUAGCUGGGGGAUGAUGCAGGAUCAGGCUCCAUCAUACUCUGUAGGUAACAGGAAUGAUGCUGUGAUAGCUUGUAGACUUGCUAUAUAGAGAAAAAAGUAAUAGUCUUUUGUGAGAGCUGCUCCACCACACUCAACUCAUGAAUUCUUGCAGGUAUGCAUUUAUUUUUUGAGACAUGCAAUGCUUUUGUAUUUUGGCUGAAAUUUUCUCACACGAUAAAAUGUUUCUUUGAGGCAGUAUGAGAGAAAAACAAGGACAGACAGACAGACAGCAGUGACGUGACCCUCAUUUCCUUAGGAAACCAAGCUAAAAAAAAAACCUAACCCCAGACUCUUUGCUGAGGGCUCCUGCUGUCAUAUACUGUACUGGUUAAACCAACCAGGAGAGGAGGCUGGCAUCAGGAUCCCUCCCCCAGAUCAGGCCUAGAACAGAGAGCAGAGAAGAUUUCGAUUUCUGUUAUGUGCAGCAGCAGGGAGGUACAGGUGUGGAGCGAGCACGGAAGACGAAAGCCAUGCUUCCUCCCAGGGCCAUGCUCACCUACAUGCUGUAGUCACUGAGAGGCAAUUUGUAAACAUUUAGGUGGGUGUUCAGUAUCUGCAUGACGUGACUCUAAAGCUGUAUUGAAGCUCUCCAGUCAAUUCACCAGUGACCUUGAGAGAUCCUACUGUGUGUGCUGGUGAUCGUGUAGUUGAUGUAUUUCCAUACGAGGCACUAAACCCUUCCGUAUUGGAAAAGUCAUUUGGUCUGUUAGAACUUGCAUGAAAAAAUACAAAUAUUUCAUAAGGACAACCUGGCAGAUUAUUCUCAGGCUAUUGAUUCCACAUUUUGUUCUGCUGAAAACCUGCUGCUAAACAGACCUCCCUACUGGAGAGACUGAGCAAAAUGGUCAUUAGAUGGAGAGGCUCUAGGGAUUUAUUGAUUAGACAUGAGAACACUAAUCAUGCAAUAGCAAAGAUCGAGCAUGCUGUUGUGAAGACUAUUUGCAUAAAAAGCUAACAUUUGAGUAUUGGGAAGCUAGAUGCUGUCAGAACAUUAACAUUAGCUGUCCCAGAUCUGGUCAUAUCCCUUGCUACAUCCAGCAGGGCAGCCAGUUCCUCAGGCUUCUCAUUUUCCAGCAUCUAAACAAACAAUAAGUUAGCAAAUAUAUUUGCUGUGCUAGGUAGAUAUUGAAAAUGAAAAUCCUAUCUCCAGCAAACCUACAGGAUAUUGUUUUGCCUCUCAAGCAUACUUGAAAAUAGCAUCAAUUUUGGAUUUUUGAAAUGGCUAACGAUUUCGUAUGACUCUCAUAAUCCAGAACUCAGUUUAAUUAAUUUCAAUCGGUUCUUGUAAUCAAAUUCUUGUAAACUUUCCUUCCUCCUGACAAAAUGCUAAUGUCAUCUUCAAGUAUUCCAAACGCAAAAAUGAGGAGGCCCUUAGAAUGAAGUGCAAAACUUUUCUAUGGUUUAUUCUUUCCCACUUCAGCCCUCUGAUUUUUUUUAAUGCAGUUCAUCAAGGAUACAGACUAAAAACGAGGACAGAAUCUUUCUACACUGUUUAUAGAUAAAUGCCAAAUUUUACACACAUUUAUAUGUGCCAUUUAUAACUCCAAGCUUUAUGACUUAAAAAAACAAACCAUGAAAUUUUAACACUCAUCAUCAAACCAGGCAACACUUGUAAGCUGUGUUUGCCACAAAACUUACCUGUAUGAGAUACUCUGAAGUUUCCACAUAGAUGAUUUCUGUCUUCUGUCAAUGUCAGCUAGUAGGGUUAGUCAUGAAAAACACCCACAAGUGUAUUCAUUGAGGACUUCACUUGAAGAACAGUGUAGAUAACCAGAAAAUAAAAUGUGCUACCAGAGAGGGUGUAGGUCAUCGGGGGGCCCUAACCACGGGCUCUGAGCAGAGCUCUGAAGAGUGUGCAGGUGUUUGUCAGACAGGGAAAAGUCAGUCAGAGAAACAAAUGGAGGAAGGUUGUGUAUUUCAUAUCAUGUGGUCGGCCUUUGAGAGAGGUGCAACCUUCGUGUGCAAUUGUUAAGCACCACUGGUGAAAAUGCAUAGCUAAUGGUGGUGACUAUGUUGAAAAAUGGUGUUUUGUAGCUGAGUCCUACCAAAAAGGGCUAUUGUGCUCUCUGUGUCUGUUGUAAUUUCCAUGGAAAUAAAUGGGAGGCAUUACUUUCGAAGCAACCUCCUCAGAUGCCCUUGUGUAGCCACCUUGCAACCUAAACCUAAAUAUCCACUACCUUUUCUAGAAGCAUCUAGAAGUAGAUGCUGAGAAAAAUAACUUAGUAUUGUUUGUGCUAGGGGCUGGAGUCAAGGAAAAAUCUGGUCUGUAUUUCUGUACACAUUUGGAUGCAAAUGACACCGGCCCAGAAUUGCUGGAGCUUCCUGUGCUGCUAUGCUCUGAGGCAUGUUGGAAACAACCAGUUCUGAAUGAAUGUAUGAAGACACUGCAGUGCCCAUGAUGUAGCUCCUCAAGUGCAAUAUGGCUUUGUUUAUAAAGGUAGAAAUCAAGAUAACCCAGACUGAGCUCUUUAUUAGAUUAGACUCCACAUGACUGUGGUACUUUGUACCUGGAGACUACAAGUCUCAAUUCCUUGCAGAUGGAAUUCAGCAAGGUAUCUUAAGGGCUGGUACCUCCACAAGGUACUUUACCAGGUAGGGUUCUGAAACUCAUCACUCCUUAAACGCCUGCUUGGCCUGCUGAGGGACUGGAGGAUUCAUUCCACAUCUGAUAAGAGGAAUCAAAUUGUCUGUUCAGUGGGAUAAUCUUUCUGUUGUCAGGAUGAAAAAUCUCAGAGGACUCAUGCUCAAUGGUCUUGUAAUUAAAUGUUACACACUUGAUGAGCAUUGCAUUGCAAGCCUCAAGGCUAAUUUACAUGUUACCACCAAAAUGUCUUAUUUCAGUUUGCUUGUAAAAAUACUGUACAGGCAUCGUUGCAUGUCAUUGCAAAUGGUUUGUUUCAGUGAUGCUUGGGUAAGCCUCAGCAUUACUAAAAGCUGUACAUAAUUACUGCUAAAGAGCUCUGUACAGAACCAAUAAUACUUCCCCCACAAUAGCUGUUUUAUUACUGAGAUGGCUUUCCUGAUGUGACCGACAAUGCUAGGAUCAGAAACAAGCAGCCUGCCAGCUAAUAAAGAAUAGCAUUUUGGGGAAACAAAGUAGUUUGAAUCAAUUAUGGUAUUAUGUACAUAAUUAGAGUCUGUGUCACUUUUCCAACAGUUGCCCAUAAUUCACAACAGUAAGGCAGGGUAGGAGGAAGGGGAGAAUAAUGACAGUAGAUAGAAGAAAGUUGUAUGAGUAGCCAUGGGUCUGAUGAUGUUAUAACGUAUUUACUAGCACAUUUACAUGCUUUAUGUUGUAGAAGUUACUCUUAGCGAUUUGGGGCCACGACUCAUGUCAGUGUAUUCGUGAUGGAUGAGUGAUGAGAGAAAAAGCUUCUCGAGCCUCCAGGAUCCAUUUAGCACACGUAGCUUUCUCAGUUCCUUGUUUUGAGAAGGUCAUCCCACAAGUAACAUUUCAACAGAGGCAUAUCAGAUGGACCGAACUGAGGUUUCUUGCCAUUCACAAUUUCUUUAAUACUUAUUCGACUGACUUCAAAGCGAUGCUAAAGCACUGCAACCAUUUAUUGGAAUAUAUUAAUAAUAAUAAAUCAGAAUUUCAUUCACUGAAUUCAAGCUUUUAAGAAAAAAAUAACCUUGUGUAGAAGCAGAAAAAAGGCAGAGAGAUAUUAGAUGACUUACCCAGUUUGCAGCAAUGCGAGUGGGAGAAUAAGAGACAGACACUCUGGCCCCUGUCCUUUCUUCCAAAUCAUGUUUCUUGUGUUUGUGCCACAGUGAAAUGAUUUUGCAUAUGUCCUGUCUUGGAAAUAUGAAAAAUAUAUGCAAUAUGCAAAGCAGCCGAUGGGUCUGCAUUUCACAAUCUAUCAUCAUUUAGGAAGUCUUGAAGCCUAAAGAGAUUGCAUGCAACUAAUUGCACACAGUCCAAGAGACUAGAGCACAUUACUGCCAAUUUGUAAACAAAACCCAGCAUGCAAAAGUGCUUAGGCCAGUGGGGUGAGUUUCCAUCGAUAAAGGACAGGCAGUGUACAAAUGCAACGCAACACAAUUCUUACACUUCAGCCUUUAAGAAUUGUGCUGACCCUCCAACAAAAUGGAGUAAUGCAGAGUCACUGAAUGCAGCUAGGCUUCGCCACUGGUAAAUAUUUUACAUAAUCCAAACGAAGAAAUCCAUGAAAACGCUGAAAGAAUAAUUAAAAGUCAUCCAGUGCAAAAAGUCCUUUAAGAUUUAAAUCCUGGCAAACACAUAAAAAUGGAUUAUGUUGGUAAACUGUGAAUCAUUCCAAACAUGGGACUGCAAAGCAAAACUCCCAUUAUUUCUUGAUCCUGACCAUCAAAUGAUCUUUGUUAUGAAUAUGCUCAUCCUGGUGGCUGGCCAAUACCUGACUUGACUCCUUAUCCAAUGCUGUCUAGCUCCCUUUGUAUCACUGCUGCUUCCAUCCCAUAUCUUACUGUUCCCCUCUGUUAUGUUCAAUAAACAUAAUAUGCUUGGUGCCACUGCUGAUCUGCUGAGCCAGUCAGUGUCCAGCUCAGUGACUCAGACUUGAUCUCAGCUUCAAAAGAAAAAUGACGAUGUCUGUCUUUCUAGAUUUGAACCCCUCCAGUGAGUAGUAUCACAGAUGUGAUAUGGAUGCUCAGUAAUUACUGAAACAGCAGUUUGUCACAAGCUGCUGGGGGCACUGAUAGACUAGUGCUCUGUGGCUAUAGUUAUGGGAAGGAAGAUGUAAGAAAAUAUGGUAAUUGUGACAGGCUCAGCUUAGUGUUGUUUGGGUUUUCUUUUCAGGGAUAAAACGUUCAUGUGGAAGCCACGCAUAUAGAGAGCUAGGUACCUAUUUUAAUCUGUCGUUCUUUCCACCUCUAUGAUAUUUAAUAUACAUGCAAAAAUUAUUCUAAUGUAAAUGAGAAUCUGGGCCAGGCAGUGGCCACAUCUAUGCUAAGCGCAAUUUGUAUCUCUGAAGUUCACAUACAUCAGCAGUUUCCUAAACAAGUAGAUUUGGCUCUUGGGGAAGAACAGAACAGCCUGCAUAUCCCAGCCACCCUCCACACCGGUGCCACUAGGGGGUCCUUAUGAUGCUGAAUAAAUAACAAAUCCCUUCUCCACAGCCGUGAGCUUUGUAGCCGAUCCAGAGCUUACUGCAGCAUGCAGGCACUUCCCUGUGCCCUGUGAACAUGAAAAAAACCACAGAAAUCUAAAACUUCACUCUUUGUGUAAACCAGCUCUGCUUUUUAUUCUUUCUCUCCUCUUAUCUUGUAGUGCAAAUGCAGCUUCAGAAAUGAACAAGAACAUCAAAAUCCACAGAUUGUUAAGUAAAUUCAAGACUGAGAGAGGAUGAAAGGAAAAUAAAAAUGGACCUGGAGCCUGAUAGGCUUUGGAUGAAGCUUUACAGGAGUUGCAAAGGAUGCUGCUGCAAUGGGGACCCAUCUGGGGUCGACAGGCUCAACUUGCUGCACAGCCGAAAAAGCAGUAUUUAGAGGUGGCAAUGCUCUGCGUGGCUCAAGCAUUAUUAAUAGCACUUUGUUUCAUAGCUUCAUAGUAUUUAAACCAUACUGUUCCCAUUACUGAAGACAUUUUGUUUUCUGAGAUCUAUCUGUCUCCCCCAAAGUAAAACAUUAUAUUUCCAUCCAGCAUUUUUUUUCUAAGUUGCACUUGACUAGUAAUAGGUUUCCUUGAAAAGCCAUCAGUGAAUUUAUGGCACAAAGAGCUACGUCUCUCCAGCCUUUAUUAAUUCAGACAUACAAAAUCUAAGCAUCUACAUGUUGCGGUUGUUGUUUGUUGCGCUGCUGCAAACUGAUAGCAUUUCACCAGAAAAGCUCUCGUGUCUGCAGCUAUCCUAUUUUCUCUCGUGUCACUCAAGCGAACCGCCUUGCAGCUCACCCGCACCGAGGUCGGAGCAGAGCCGCAGGAGCCUGCAGAACCCACAGGGGGCUGUCGUGCCAGGCACCCGCUCAGCCCCCGGGACCUGUGGGUGAGGAUGCGAGCAGAGCUUCCCAGCACUGCUGGGAGCCAAACGGGCUUUUGCCUGAGUGAGUUCUGGGGGAUGGGGCAUUCGUUCAGAGGCACAAACUCCUUCAAUACUGGAUGUGCUCAGAAGAUGGAAAUUAGCAAUAUUACAAAUUCAGAAAGCAGCAGACGAGCUUGUAACGUAGCGAAUAGGAGCUCACCCCUCUUUUUGAGCAGCUGCUCCCAACGCAACAAGCCCUCUGACCAGUGCCACUGUAGCCUUUGACCUUAUUCAUUAGAGAUAUUCUGAUGUACUGUGAGCAGUAUGGAACAAUGUUCAUAUGUUCGUUUAUGGGUUAACCCUAUCCUUAUUAGAUUUGUACUUUCCAACCUGAAGUUAUGAAAGUUUGGCCGGCACGCUGGGUUUUGCCCUCCCUUUCUGCUCUCUCAGCCACUGAAGUAAUCUCAAGCUAUCCUUUUCAACUGAACUUUUUUAAGUGUUGCUUUUAUCUCUAGUUGCCAGUGUCUUUAAGAACUUAACCCCUAUAUCUCUUACAGCCAGCUCUAGCUUCUGGAAAGCAAGAAGACUUCUACUUCCUGCACCUGUUGCCAGAUUCACUGUGGUUUCCCAGCACUGAAGAACCAGUGUGUACUGAGCAAUACUGAUGCUAUACUGGGUUACCAAGGGGUAUGAAGAUGUGAUUAGUCAAUGUCACAAAGAUUUUGGAGAGCAAAACAGAGGAGGAGGAAAGAGUAAUACUUCCUUUAGCCUUCAUCUUCUGCCUUCCCGUGACAUCUGUCCUGCACGAUUUGCGGGCAGUCACAGUGUGCACUUCCUUCUCCUGCAGAGGCUCUGCUUCUUUUGGAAAAGGCUUCCACAAGGAUACCAGCAGCAUUAAAAUCUCACUUGGUCCACUUGUAUUUUUUUACCAGCCCUGUUUGAUUGCCCUAGAAAAACAGGGAAGAAUAUUUUCCUUGCUCUCAAGAGUAAAGUCCUCCAUUAUCACGUCAUGAAGGGAAACGGACUGUUUGGUAGCUAAGGAAAAAUGCUGACUUUAAACCUGAGAUAAGGUUCUAUCAUUUACACUAAUGAGCUCACUGGUGGCAAAUCUGUAAGAUUUUAUGAUAAAAAGUAGCUGUAAGUCAGUAUUUGAUGGAAUUUUCUAUUUCUUCUUUUUUUUUUUUUUGCUGAAAAUACAUCUAACUACUAAUAAUUUUCCCAUCCAAAUCCGGGGAGGAAUAAAUGCAGUGAGAAUCAUCCCAGACUGAGUUCAAAGAUUUGGUAAGUAACCCAUUAUUUCAGAGAGUUAUUCUCUAACUUAUUAUUGAUUUAUUAACCUAUUUAUUGAUCUAAAUUCUGCUGGGAAGGCUGUGAACACAUUUGACUAGUUGACUAAUGAUUGAGUUACUCAGAAGGAGGGGAUCUUAAUGAAAUAUUAAUAUUAGGAUUUUAAUUGCUGAUGACUUAUGGUUAACAGUUGAGCCUCCAGAUCUGAUAGUCACAUCAUGCCAGAUUUUGAUUUCUGAUGGAAACAUACUCUGAGGCCAUAUAUCCAAUAAGUGCUAUGAAAAAGGUAUCUAAUACCCUUUGCUGGUAUAUUCUGCCUGAGCACUGACAAACACUAAUGAAAUCUAGUUACUGUAGGUUACAAAGACCGAGACUGUUCUGUUCAGAACCAGAAUGGGCAAAUCCAGCUGGGGAGACCAACCCUGCUAUGAAACUGGUGUAAGUGGAUGCAAGCAAUAGGGUGACAGUAAGCAGAGGAAAAAGAGAUGUCUUCAGUUGAAGGGCUGGAAAACUCUCACAGUUUGGCUUCCAUUGUGAGACAUGAAUGAAAUUCUGGCGAUUUUUCUCUCUCCCCUCUGAUUUUUUUCCAGCCUACCUCCUGAGUUUGAGAUGUUUAGACUUCAUGGCAUCCCUGGUUCAAUGCCUGGAAAAGCUGGCCAGAGUUGCAGUACAAUGCAGAGACUUCCUUGCAUGACCACUUUCCCCUUGUGCAGGCAAGAAAUAAGUCCUUACAAAAUAUUCCAUGUGCUGGUUGUGCCUCUGCAACCUUGUUUAUGGAUAGCUCUGCUUUUGCAGUGAUCUCUUCUCCUGAGAGUCAUGGGUUUAACUCAUCACUUUGAUAGCAAUUUGGGAAUGGGUGUUGGGUUGUAUUAGAGGUACUAGUCUCAUAGUAGAAAUAGCAAAAAAAGUAAACAAUGAGCAUGAAGACUAGGAUAUGGGUUUACUGCUGUUGACGACAAAAGGACAGAUGAAUUGGAGAAUGUAGGGGAUAGCAGAAAAAGAUAACAGAAAAAUGUUUGGAAAUAAGAGGGAUGGAUGUUCUAUAGGCUUACUGACAUUUUUUUUUACUCUAUGAGUCCUGUAAGAUGCUGGCAAUAUAGGAAAGCAAGACAAGCUGACAAAAAGAUUGGUCUGAGAGACUGAGAAAUGGCUGUGAAGCUGGUUUGGUAUGCAGGUGAUCACAACUACUAUCAUCUUUCAAGAAAAACAUGUUUUUCACAAAAAGAUUGUCAAACCUGCAGCUCUUGUUGUGCAUCUCUGUCUUCAUACGGCUCUUAUCACUGCAAGAUUUGAAUUUCCUAGUGCAUAAAAGAUUGUAUCUAACGUCUUCUUCCAGUCUAGCUUCCCUCCAUGCUAUGCCCAUCACUUUGUACCGAGUACAGAUGAAAUGCUGAAGUGUUGCAACUUUUCUGUGAGAGGAGCAGCCGCUAGAGGGGAGGAUGUACACUGUGAAGUCCCCAUCAGUACCCUGUCACUGAGGCUUCCUCAGUAAGUAACAAAUAAGUAAAUAAAUCAGAAUUUUAGUAAUCAUUUGUAGGCUGUCCUGGUAUAUCCUUUCAGGUAAAAUAUAUUGAAUGAGGUUAUUUUUAGUAUUGCAGUUUCAACGUUUACCUUGAAACACAGCCAAAACUAACGGCCAGGAAAAAAAAUCAUUGGCUAAAUUACACAGAGAAGAUUGGAUUACCUGUUCAAACACAGCUCUUAAUUCUGGAUUUAAAUAGAAUCUCCAAAUACAACAGAACUGUUGCAGAAAAUAAAGCUAGCCAACAGCCCCUAAUAACCCCUAAUUAUUAGUAGUUUCAGUUAAAAUUUGGACAGUGUUGGUCUUAAUUCUUUUAAAUCAGAAGAGGCAGCGUGACCAUGGUAUCCCAUUUACAAUUACAGUGAGCACACACGCUGUUCCAACACAUGCUGGCUUUAGCUGAGUGUUCUCUGGCAAGUUGGGUUGGGGUUUUGCCCUGUUAAAAUACAAUUACCUAUUUGACUAGCAAAUAAUUUCAAUUUGAGUUACUUCUUUGUAACAAUGCACUUUUCUGACAGAAGUGUCUGACAAGAAAAACAGGUCAAGCUCCUGACAUUGGCAUUUUUGCUUGCUUAGGAAUUUUUUGCACCUGAAAGAAAACCUGCUGGUAUCCUAUCUGGGUGACUUUCAUGGCAUCAGUAAAUACCAAAGAGACCUGCCCCUAAAGAAGAUGCUCUCUCAAGGUAAGACUGAAAUCCAAAUUACUUUAAAAUAGGAAAGAAAGAAAAGCUUGGCAAUGCUAUGGAUACAUGGACAAUUACAGCUAUAUAAACCAGAUUGUUUAAUGAUUGUCUCAAGGAUAGUUUUUUCAAGUAUCUUUUACACUGAGCUAAUAUUUUUCUCACUUUUAACUUUAUCCAAUGUAAUGUGUAAAUGGGAGAUUAGAAGUCGAAGACUGUAUUGCAGGCACCCAAUGAAAAGCAGCAGAUGACACUGCCCACAUUGUCUUAAUAAAUUUGUUCUUCAGAAGGUGCAGAACCCAAUAGCCAUGCAGUCCAGUGAUCCUUCGAGGUCAACAGUUUUAUAUUCAUUUACUGCUGCAGUCCCCACUUUGGUAAAGAUCAUCUAUCAGUUUCCCUGUUAUCCUCCUGCUUACAGCUACCUGUUAAGAUCAAAAAUGCUCAUUUCUGAGAUUGAGAUUUGCCACAAUUGCAACUGGAAAACACGAUUUUUUAUUUAAACAUUUUAUCACAAUCUUUGUGGACGUUUUAAAAUACAUCAAAAUACUGGGAAAACACUAAGGUUAUUUUGUUUGAUAGUCUCUGGGCAGAAGUAAGACCUGAAAGCAGAAAGUCAGAACUAUUUUUCAAUAGGAAGCAGGGCAUGAUUAAACUCGGGAACCAACCUGGUUUAAUUGGACCAAAUACAAUUACAGAAUGUUUGGAUAUGAAUAUAUGCAACUGUCUGUCUGGCAGUUAUUCUUGGGUGCACACCUCGGAAAGCUUAUGCACUCUUCAGCUGUUCAUGUUACUGGCUGGGUUUUACCCUCUGUGCCUGCUUUCUCCUACAAGAAGUAACCACAGGAGAAUUCCCUUGGCCCAGUGCUGUUCCCCACUGGCAUCUGAAGCAGCCUGCCUGUGCCAUUCUGUCUUUGCUCUGCUGUGCAAAACCUGUGCUGGCAGGCGCACAGUGCAGCAAGUCUGCAGCCAUUCUUAUUCCAUAGGGAGUGGGCUGACAGAUCGCUGCUGCUGGUUGGGACCCCAACAGCUUAUUUGUUCCUGCUGUGCGCUCUCACUGGACUCGACCUACUCUCUGAGAUACCUUAAUUGCUUGCUGUGGAAGCUGAAGGUGACACUGUAAGCAAAUCACCAUAAACACAUGCAAAUCUCUCUUACAACUGCAAAUCAAACAGUUGAAGUAGUGCACAGUAUAGGUCAGCAAGAGCUCUUUUGCUGUAAAUCUCAUUUUCACACAUCUUCAGACUUUGUACAAGAUCCCAGCAAAUGCUAGGGAAGAGGGGUAUCUGAGGUUUAUAAGGGCAAAUAUGAAUCCCUGAAUUGCCUUUCUGUGGUUCAACUAAUAUGGCAGAGAACAAACUGCAUUUUCAGAACUGUGAACAAACCACAUUUCAUAUAAGUUAUCUGCUUACAGGCCAGACCUUGUAUUUAUAACUUAAGAAGGAUUAAAUCAAAAGGCAAGCAGUCCGUGAAAGGGUGGUUUUAUACACAGCCAGCUAAACUCUUGAUAAAUCGUUCUCUUGAAGGAAAAAAUAAAGGCUUCCAAUAGAUUCUUCUGUACUUGUUUUCAGAGAAGCUUAUGGUGUCUCUCCUUAGAGGCUUUCUUUAUGAGGAAAGCUAGUUAAAUGCCUAGUGAGACUGAGUUUCCAAGGGUGAUCUCCCUAGAACAGGAUUAGGGUUCACUGACAACGUAAUGCAGGGCAGGUAAUGCUGCUGUUGCUCAUGGCUUAAACUGCUUUAUGGCUAAAUCAUAUUUCAGUUUCUAGAGGUAUCAGUUUGGUACCUCUGAGCUUUCAACUUGCUUCUGUAAGGUAAAAAAACAAACAGGUUUUUUGGUCUUCCCGUAUUUUUUUCUGGACUAAAACAAGCAGCUCUCUCACUGCCUGAGCAGGACAGUAACCAGUCCUGAAAUGGAUCAUCAGAAAUUUAUGAGGAUCACUCAAUUAUUUUUUUUCCCUCCAGAUUAUUUCCAAGUUGGUGCUUUUCUUCAAGCACAGGUGAAGCAUUAGGGGAGUUUUACAGACUGACAGUCCAUUCUGAAUCUGUAAACCAGAGCAGCCAAGCAGCCACAAAGGCAGCUCAGGGCUAGUUAGCACGAGGUGAAUGGUUCACACGUUUUCUCCACAUCCACAGAAAUGGUUUUGAAAACAAAGCCAGAAAAAACCACUAUAGUUUCAGUCUAAUACCAAUAACAAAUACUAUAGUUUGUUAAUACAUUGAUACUCUUGCCAUUGUAUCUGAACAACAAUUGCCCUAUUCUAUCUCAGCGACAUUGAUUAACAAAACAGUUUGUAAUUAGAUGGAGUCGUGUAAUUCAUGGCCCUCUGUAAACAUCUGGAUUUGCAAAUCUGCACUCCUAGCUUGGGAGCUCUGUCACACAUCACUAAUUAAGCCACAUUCUUAUAUACCAGUACAUACAUCCUCCUGCUGAGCAUCCUUUCUUUGUUCCCAGUACAAAUAACAGCCUGUUGUCAAUACAGAGAAAACCAUCAUAACUGCCUAGCUCAGCGUGUGACAUUUAUUGAAAAUGAAAUAACAUCUCAUUUGCAUGACUGGCAUUACUUUAUUAAAGCCAGAGCUGCAGAAGCUGGGUGCUACAGUGCAAGUCAAGUGUGCAAGGCUGACAGUCCGUAAGUGCAUAGGAACGAUGGUGUCCAGCACAGGGAGGUUGGCACUCCCCCCUGCCUGUCUGCCCACCUCCUGUUUGUAGGGUAGGGCUUCUAGCAAAUCGACAGACCUAUUCCUUUUCCCAGCCCCCCCCCCCCCCCCCUCCCAGUCCUUGUUCUCCCUGUUACCUCCAUCCCACGGAGCUGGGAACCAGAGCCCCCCUUGCUUCUCCCAGAGGAGUUCCCCAGAAUCAUCAUGGGCUGGGAUCAUCAGCUCCAGCUGAGGAGGAACCCAUCAGAAGUGCUACAGGAAGCAGCGCAGUAGCACAGGAGCUGUGUCUGUUGUGCAGGGGAAGUGCCUUAAAAGAGGAAUAUUUUUUCAGUGUCAGAAGAACGCAGCUGAGCACUCAGAACUUUGAACAGACAAAGUUGUGCUCCUUCAGUCUGCAUUUCCCUCUGCCAUUUCACCAGCAUUGAUAAGGAAGCAAAAUCCUUAUUGUGGCCGAUUCUGAUCUGCUUUAACCCCUUAGACAUAUUUAGAAAUAACGAGUUUAUGUGAAGAAACUUUCUGAUUCUGACCUUGGCGCCCAGUUCGGCAGCGAUACAGCAGAGAGGAGAAGCUGCCAGCGGGACGGCUCCUGGCAGCAUGUGGGCGGCUCCUCCCCCUCCUUUUCUUUUCACACUUCUCAGCGGAGUUUUUCUUUCUGCUAUCUCCGAUGCCGCUCCGCCCGUCUUCCUUCCCCCGUCUCCUUGCCGCAGUCGCGCUGCCCCCGGCCGCCUCGGUGCUGCUGCCCGUCCCGCAGCGGUACCCGACUCCCGCACGGUCCGAGGCCAUCGGCUACGCGCAACCCGACCCCCGUGCCGCCCCAGCUUUGAACGAUAUUUAACUUCCAGAGAGGAUGCUACCAACUCCAGCUGAUUUUAAUUUCUGCAUACAAGUUUACUUAUGCACGCUUCUGUCACUUAGAAAAGUUUUGUCGCAGCGCUCAUAGUUCACAGUGAAUCCCUUCUGCUCCGGUCCGGAUUUGGCGGCACCUCCGGCACGGACGCGGCGCGGGGUCCGUCGGGCCGGGAGCGCCUCUCCGCAACCAGAAGGGCGGCGGGGCCGGACCGGCGCCAGGAGCUCCCUGGCAGCGGGGCGCCGUGCUGCUCCAAGAGGGCUCUGUGAGCGAGGAAAGUUUCUUGCUUACGGCCGGGACCGCGCCUCUCGCUCGAGCCCCUCCGCUCCUGCGGAACGAGACGGCGCGGUCAGGACGUCGGCCCGUAACGCGGGCGGGGCCGGCUGCAGGGAUCGCCGCGCGCCCCGACGGUGCUGCUUGGAG
ensembl:lncRNA